CGGGGAGUAGCACAGCCUGGUAGUGCACAAGCUUUGGGUGCUUGAUGUCGGGGGUUCGAAUCCCCCCUCCCCGAC
rnacentral:tRNA from 1 species